CGCAGCCUGAUCCAGCAUGCCGCGUGUGUGAAGAAGGCCUUCGGGUUGUAAAGCACUUUUAUCAGGAACGAAAAACCAUUGGUUAAUACCCGGUGGGGCUGACGGUACCUGAGGAAUAAGCACCGGCUAACUUCGUGCCAGCAGCCGCGGUAAUACGAAGGGUGCAAGCGUUAAUCGGAAUUACUGGGCGUAAAGGGUGCGUAGGCGGUUUGUUAAGUCUGUUGUGAAAUCCCCGGGCUCAACCUGGGAAUGGCAAUGGAUACUGGCAAGCUAGAGUGUGUCAGAGGAUGGUGGAAUUCCCGGUGUAGCGGUGAAAUGCGUAGAGAUCGGGAGGAACAUCAGUGGCGAAGGCGGCCAUCUGGGACAACACUGACGCUGAAGCACGAAAGCGUGGGGAGCAAACAGGAUUAGAUACCCUGGUAGUCCACGCCCUAAACGAUGCGAACUGGAUGUUGGUCUCAACUCGGAGAUCAGUGUCGAAGCUAACGCGUUAAGUUCGCCGCCUGGGGAGUACGGUCGCAAGACUGAAACUCAAAGGAAAUUGACGG
rnacentral:rRNA from 1 species